rnacentral:rRNA from 1 species
AACUACGGGAGGUAACUUACGGUAACGAACGGAGCUAAUACCGGAUAAUAUAUUGAACCGCAUGGUUCAAUGGUGAAAGACGGUUUUGCUGUCACUUAUAGAUGGAUCCGCGCCGCAUUAGCUAGUUGGUAAGGUAACGGCUUACCAAGGCAACGAUGCGUAGCCGACCUGAGAGGGUGAUCGGCCACACUGGAACUGAGACACGGUCCAGACUCCUACGGGAGGCAGCAGCC